CCUACGGGUGGCAGCAGUGAGGAAUAUUGGUCAAUGGGCGAGAGCCUGAACCAGCCAAGUCGCGUGAGGGAGUACUGCCCUAUGGGUUGUAAACCUCUUUUGUCGGGGAGCAAAAGCCGGACGUGUCCGGCUGUGAGAGUACCCGAAGAAAAAGCAUCGGCUAACUCCGUGCCAGCAGCCGCGGUAAUACGGAGGAAGCGAGCGUUAUCCGGAUUUAUUGGGUUUAAAGGGUGCGCAGGCGGAUUUUUAAGUCAGCGGUAAAAUCGUGGGGCUCAACCCCAUCCAGCCGUUGAAACUGGGGAUCUAGAGUGUGCGAGAGGUAUGCGGAAUGCGUGGUGUAGCGGUGAAAUGCAUAGAUAUCACGCAGAACCCCGAUUGCGAAGGCAGCAUACCGGUGCACAACUGACGCUCAGGCACGAAAGCGUGGGUAUCGAACAGGAUUAGAUACCCCUGUAGUC
rnacentral:rRNA from 1 species